ensembl:lncRNA
AUGUGCGUGAGCACUCUCUCUCACACACACUCCAUACACAGCACACACACAGCAUACUACACACAGCACACACACACACACCACACCACACACACACACCACACCACACACACCACACACACACACCACACCAUACCAUACACAUCACACACACACACCACACACACACCACACCACACACACCAACCACACCACACACACCAACCACACCACACACACACCACACACACCAACCACACCACACACACACACACACACCAGACCACACAAACCAUACCACACCACACACACCACACCACACAUACCACACACACACACACACCAACCACACCACACACACAUCACACACACACACCACACACACACCACACACACACCACACACACAGCACACACACAGCACACACACCACACCACACACACCACACACACACACACCACACCACACACACACCAACCACACCACACCACACACACCACACACACACACACCACACACACCACACCAUACCAUACACACCAUACGCACACCACACACACACACCAUACACACACCACACCACACACACACCAACCACACCAUACACACACACCACACCACACACACCAACCACAUACACCACACACACCAACCAUACCACAUACACCAACCACACCACACACACACACACAGCACACACCACAUACACACAACACACACCAACCACACCACACACACACUACCACAACACAUACCACACACACCACACCACACACACCAACCACACCACACACACAGCACACACACAGCACACACACCACACCACACACACCAACCACACCACACACACCAACCACACCACACACACAGCACACACAGCACACACACACACACCACACCACACACACACCCACCAACCACACCACACACACACACCACACACACACACCAGUCCACACAAACCACACCAUACCACACACACCACACACACACAGCACACACACACACACACACAGCACACACACAGCACACACACCAACCACACCACACACACCACACACACACACACCAGUCCACACAAACCACACCACACCACACACACCACACCACACCACACCACACACACACCACACACACCAACCAUACCACACACCAACCACACCACACACCAACCACACCACACACACACACCACACCACACACACACACCACACAUACACACACACCCUAUACACACCACACAUACACACACACACCACACUACACACACACACACACACACACACACACACACACCCUCACACCCCACACAUAAUAUCACACAUACCACAUCCACAAACACCACACACCCUCUUCAUAUACACACACACCACACCACACCACACACCACACAUACCACCCACCCCCCACACCAGAGACUGCACAUACCCCUACGACACGUCAUACCCUCCUUAUGUACACACACACCCCCCACACCAGAGACCACACACACCCACUACACCCACCACACCUCACAUCCUCCUCACACACACACACACACCCCACACUCAUCCCCACAUCAGAGACCACACACACUCACUACAUCUCACACCCUCCUCAUACACACACACACACAUGACACACAGACACACACACACCCCACACCCUCUUCACACACACACAGACACACACCACACACAUAUCCUCCACAUCAGAGACCGCACACACCCACUACACCCCCACACAUCACACCCUCCUCAUACAUAUACACACACACCCCACAUACCAGAGACUGCACACACACACACACAUCACACUACACACUGA